rnacentral:rRNA from 1 species
GUGCCAGCAGCCGCGGUAAUACGUAUGUUCCAAGCGUUAUCCGGAUUUAUUGGGCGUAAAGUGAGCGCAGACGGUUAUUUAAGUCUGAAGUGAAAGCCCUCAGCUCAACUGAGGAAUGGCUUUGGAAACUGGAUGACUUGAGUGCAGUAGAGGAAAGUGGAACUCCAUGUGUAGCGGUGAAAUGCGUAGAUAUAUGGAAGAACACCAGUGGCGAAGGCGGCUUUCUGGACUGUAACUGACGUUGAGGCUCGAAAGUGUGGGUAGCAAACAGGAUUAGAUACCCUGGUAGUCCACACCGUAAACGAUGAGUGCUAGAUGUUUGAGGGUUUCCGCCCUUUGAGUGUCGCAGCUAACGCAUUAAGCACUCCGCCUGGGGAGUACGACCGCAAGGUUGAAACUCAAAGGAUUGACGGGACCCGCACAAGCGGUGGAGCAUGUGGUUAAUUCGAAGCAACGU